rnacentral:lncRNA from 1 species
AUAACGUGGGGUACCUUCUUUCUGUACCCAUUUUUUUUAUCGAUCAUUCUGUACAAGAAUGAAAGGAAAAGCUUCGUGGAAGAGGUCAGGGGCUGAAAAAUCGUUGAUUAAUCACAGGGCUUAAUCAUGUAAGUGCUCGAUCAUUCUUCUCUUCUUAAUCCCUACACCGGCCAUCUUUUAUCCAUACUUGUUAUUUUGUUGUUUACAUUGAUUCUUUAAGGAAGCUUUAACCCACAACUAUGACUUCAAGUUCAAAUACAUUAGUUGAAUUUUAUAUUGAGGGUUUGAAUGGAACAGAUGAUGAGCCUGAUGAAGAAGAAUAUGUUCCUUCUUCUAUGGACAAGACAAUAUGUGAAAGGACAAGGGCAUUGGCAUUUGCACUAGUUGAUGGCAAGUAAAGUUGACUGAUCUCUAUGCUCGUAUAUGGGAUUAUGGUAAUGAAGUUUUGAGAUCAAACCGAUGAAGCACUGUUGAAAUUGGAGUGGAUGUCAAUCCGGAUGCAAAACAGACCUUAUGGUCAUUUUUGUACACUUUUUUAACAAAGUUAUAUCCGUGCAAAGCUCAAACCAAAAAGGCCAUCUGAAAGGAAUGGAGGCGGAUCUACAUAGGACAAACCUGUUAAUCUAGAAUACUAGCUUUAGGAACUAGAAUGGGACAAAAAUCUAGUCUUUUGUGAUGAUUUUGAUACUUGGAAUUCAAUAUUCCUAGUCUUUUGUUACUAAAAUUGAGUUAGUAUUAAUGAAAUUGUUGAUUUUAUGUAUUGGUGUCAAUGAAAUUGUGUAGUGAACUUGAUUCUGUUUUUCCUUUUCUGUUUUCCUGAUUGGUGUUUUCCUUUGUUGUCCC